rnacentral:rRNA from 1 species
GGGCAGUGGCGCGUGCUUACACAUGCAGUCGAACGAUGGAACCGCUUCGGUGGUGGAUUAGUGGCGAACGGGUGAGUAACACGUGGGCAAUCUGCCCUUCACUCUGGGACAAGCCCUGGAAACGUGUUCUAAUACCGGAUAAUAUCUCCUGCCUGCAUGGGUGGGGGUUGAAAGCUCCGGCGGUGAAGGAUGAGCCCGCGGCCUAUCAGCUUGUUGGUGGGGUAAUGGCCUACCAAGGCGACGACGGGUAGCCGGCCUGAGAGGGCGACCGGCCACAUUGGGACUGAGACACGGCCCCAGACUCCUACGGGAGGCAGCAGUGGGGAAUAUUGCACAAUGGGCGAAAGCCUGAUGCAGCGACGCCGCGUGAGGGAUGACGGCCUUCGGGUUGUAAACCUCUUUCAAGCAGGGAAGAAGCGCAAGUGACGGUACCUGCAGAAGAAGCGCCGGCUAACUACGUGCCAGCAGCCGCGGUAAUACGUAGGGCGCAAGCGUUGUCCGGAAUUAUUGGGCGUAAAGAGCUCGUAGGCGGCUUGUCACGUCGGAUGUGAAAGCCCGGGGCUUAACCCCGGGGUCUGCAUUCGAUACGGGCUAGCUAGAGUGUGGUAGGGGAGAUCGGAAUUCCUGGUGUAGCGGUGAAAUGCGCAGAUAUCAGGAGGAACACCGGUGGCGAAGGCGGAUCUCUGGGCCAUUACUGACGCUGAGGAGCGAAAGCGUGGGGAGCGAACAGGAUUAGAUACCCUGGUAGUCCACGCCGUAAACGUUGGGAACUAGGUGUUGGCGACAUUCCACGUCGUCGGUGCCGCAGCUAACGCAUUAAGUUCCCCGCCUGGGGGAGUACGGCCGCAAGGCUAAAACUCAAAGGAAUUGACGGGGGCCCGCACAAGCAGCGGAGCAUGUGGCUUAAUUCGACGCAACGCGAAGAACCUUACCAAGGCUUGACAUAUACCGGAAAGCAUCAGAGAUGGUGCCCCCCUUGUGGUCGGUAUACAGGUGGUGCAUGGCUGUCGUCAGCUCGUGUCGUGAGAUGUUUGGGUUAAGUCCCGCAACGAGCGCAACCCUUGUUCUGUGUUGCCAGCAUGCCUUUUCGGGGGUGAUGGGGACUCACAGGAGACUGCCGGGGUCAAUUCGGAGGAAAGGUGGGGACGACGUCAAGUCAUCAUGCCCCUUAUGUCUUGGGCUGCACACCUGCUUCAAUGGGCCGGUACAAUGGAGCUCCAAUGCCGUGGAGGCGGAACGAAUCUCAAAAAGCCGGUCUCAGUUCUGGAAUUGGGGGUUCGGACUCGACCCCAUCGAAGUC